UAUCUCUUUUGCGAUAAUUAUCAAUAAAAGUCGAGAAUAAUCUUUCAAAAAUAUCGAUAUAUAUCUUUUCAAAAAAAUAUUUUUAUACAUAAAAUCAAAUUUAUCGUUUCACGCAUUACUUUAUGUGCUCGGUUGAAAAUACUUAUAUUCGAGGAUAAAAAAACAUAUUUCAAACAAAAUUUAUAAUAUAAUUUAUAAAUAAAAUCUUUUAGAAUAUGAGAUAGGCAAAUUAUACAUACCCAUAUUGAUAUCCAUGACAAUGUAUUCUUUUA
rnacentral:lncRNA from 1 species